rnacentral:rRNA from 1 species
AGUGAACGCUGGCGGUAGGCCUAACACAUGCAAGUCGAACGGCAGCACAGGAGAGCUUGCUCUCUGGGUGGCGAGUGGCGGACGGGUGAGGAAUACAUCGGAAUCCACCUUUUCGUGGGGGAUAACGUAGGGAAACUUACGCUAAUACCGCAUACGACCUACGGGUGAAAGUGGGGGACCGCAAGGCCUCCCGCGACUAGAUGAGCCGGUGUCCGAUUAGCUAGUUGGCGGGGUAAUGGCCCACCAAGGCGACGAUCGGUGGCUGGUCUGAGAGGAUGAUCAGCCACACUGGAACUGAGACACGGUCCAGACUCCUACGGGAGGCGGCAGUGGGGAAUAUUGGACAAUGGGCGCAAGCCUGAUCCAGCCAUACCGCGUGGGUGAAGAAGGCCUUCGGGUUGUAAAGCCCUUUUGUUGGGAAAGAAAUCCUAUCGGUUAAUAACCGGUGGGGAUGACGGUACCCAAAGAAUAAGCACCGGCUAACUUCGUGCCAGCAGCCGCCGUAACAC